ACACGGAAGGAAAAGAUGUCCAGUGU
rnacentral:sRNA from 1 species